UUUACUGAAAUUUUACAGCAAUUUUCUACAGUGUAUCUGACUGUGAUGUUUCUUUUUUACCUCUGGUAUUAGGAAUAUACAAUCAGGGUGGCACAGUGGGGGGUGACACCAUCCUUUUCUGUGAAUCUAAAGAGAUUCUUCUCUGGACUAAAGGUGGAGACAGAAGAGUGCUGAUCAUGAGUUUUCGAGAUGGAGAAAGCACCAAUCACAUGAGAGACGACAGAUACAGUUUAUUACUUGAUUCAUUUCUUCAUAUAAAUAAUCUUACUCUAUCAGACUCUGGGAUUUAUUCAUGUAAUAAUGAUCCAGUGUGGAAUCUCACUGUAACUCCAUUACAAGGUUCAAUCCCAUCAACCCCUGCCUGGAUUCCAGAGGAGGAGGAAGAUAAACAAAAAGAUGAGCAUUUUUGUUUUUCUGUGAAAUGAAGAAUCACUUCCAGUCUGGAUUCUGCUAAAGAAGUGGCGAGCAAGUCUUUACAAACAAAAAAAAUCUACUUAAUUUAGUCAUAUCCAAUGACCUUUUUCACUCCCUCUACCUCCACUUCUGACCGAGGAGAGCUGUUCUGUGUUUUCUUUAACUUAUUUUAUAAUAAAUGUAUUCUGAAUUUAGAGCUGGACAAGGUUACAUGUUAAA